CAUCGCUUCCUGUUUUUUAAGUCAUGUGACUCACCAAAAUGGCAGCUCCCAUAAAAAUUCGUAGUUGCCGAUAAAAAAAAAAAUUCUCAAAACACCAUUCAACGUUAUCGGAUUGACCUCAAAUUUUCAAGCUUAUCCUAGUUUGAGUAGAGGGGCUCUGGACCCUAUCCCAGCUGACUUCGGCCAAAAGGCAGACUCCACCUUCAACUGGUCACCAGGGCACAUGCACGACAAGGACUGCAAUUCACACAAUCACUGAGUGGGAACUGAACCCAGGCUGCCCACAACAAAGUCAGGGCGGUAACAAUGUCAAAAAGAGAGUGAUGAACAGAAAAAGAACAGAAAUAACAAUGGACAACAGACUGACAACCCACCUAAGUGGAUGUAUGGAUGUGAAUAGUUGCUGGGAUGCCUUGUCAAAUAGUGCAUUGAAUUUCAUUAAGUUCACUAGGACUGUUGAAUAU